UUAAAGAUUCAGACUUUGCUCUUCAAUACCUCUUCAACGGAACGUGCAAGGAUGACUAGGCUACUGGGGGUGACAGGUAGCCUAGUGGUUAGAGUGUUGAGCCAGUAACCAAAAGGUUGCUAGAUAGAAUCCCCGAGCUGACAAGGGUAGGGGGCAGUAUUUUGACGUCUGGAUGAAAGGCGUGCCCAAAUUAAACUGCCUGCUACUUAGGCUCAGAAGGUGUGCUGGAGUCAGAGCAGAACCCCACCAGGUGCAACCUGUUCCAUAAUCAAGACCUCUACAAAUACUCAGUCCUGCCACUUCCACCCUGGCAGAUCGUAAUCUCUGCUCAGUCAGUCUACGUUUCUAUCCAUUUGUUACUAUUUAGAUCCUUAACUGACACGGUUUUCCUCUCCGCUACAGUUCUGCCCAAUCUGACUUUGGUGUCUGUCUCCAGGCCCACGUCUCCUCAUACUGCUACUCUGCCCUGGAUUCCCCACUCUACUGGAUUCCCCUCCGGACCUGCCUACCCUGUCCCAAACCCUCUCGCUCCAGCCUCAGUCUCCACACCUGGUUUCCUGCAACCCGCCCAAGCUUCCCGUGGCCUGCACUCCACCUUCCCCCUGUGUUUCAAUAAAUACCUUGGUUACCUCAUCCCAGUCUCCUUGUCUGAGUCUGCUCUUGGGUUUCCCUGUUCCACUCCGUGUAACAGUUACUUCUGUGAACGUUAAUUAUCCUCCCUCCUCACAGAGACAAACGUGUAAAUAUCUUAAGCGGAAUUACAAGGCAAUAUUUCUUAAACUUAAACAAUUUCUCCAAACACAAAUGUAAGUGUUGAU
rnacentral:lncRNA from 1 species